UAACGCGUGGGAAUCUGCCCUGGAGUGGGGGAUAACCCGGCGAAAGCCGGGCUAAUACCGCAAACGUCCUGAGGGAGAAAGAUUUAUCGCUCUAGGAGGGGCCCGCGUCGGAUUAGCUAGUUGGUGAGGUAACGGCUCACCAAGGCGACGAUCCAUAGCUGGUCUGAGAGGAUGAUCAGCCACACUGGGACUGAGACACGGCCCAGACUCCUACGGGAGGCAGCAGUGGGGAAUAUUGGACAAUGGGGGCAACCCUGAUCCAGCAAUGCCGCGUGAGUGAUGAAGGCCUUAGGGUUGU
rnacentral:rRNA from 1 species